GCUAUCUGUCAAAUUCCAAUUAUAAUGUCUAAUUACUGCGACCCCUUUCAGCAAAUGGAGUGAGUCAAAUCAGCCAACUUAGUCAAACACCAAUUUUUUUUAAAGUUCAAAUUCCAACCAUUUUUCAGACGUAAGCUGCUGUAAUUUUUAAAAAGAAACGCCAACCAGCUUGAAUACAAAAUCAAACUUUGGAAACUUUAUAGUAUUUUCAGUCAUAUAAUCCCGAAAUCUUAAUUUUUUUUGGAUCUGUACCAGUUUACAUCUGCCCUGUUUCUUGUUGUCUUGUUUCUGUAAAAAAAAAAAAAAAAAAAAAAAAAUACGCUCAAGAAUUUGCAAAGAUUCGAAAAAAAUUCUGCUGCCCAGAUUGGGCAUUGAUGACAGUUGAAUCUUCUUGAACCGGUGUUUUAAACUGUUUUUGUUUGAUUUAUAAUUCAAGUCUGCAGCAAAAGCAACUUUGAUGGAUUCAUCGCCAGAUUACAAGAGGGCCACAAGCAAUUUUGAUGAAAAGAAAGAAAAUUCUCCUGCUGGAAGUGAAUGUGAUGAAAACGUUUCAUUGAGUUCUUCAACUCAGGGAUCUGCUUUUAAUGGACUGCCUGGUCCGUACCGGGAUAUGGGAAUCAAGAACAGAACUAACAAGAAGAAGACACUGAAAAACUUUAGGAAUCUAAAAACAUUCAGGAGAAGGGCUAGAUCAAGAGCUGUGGAUCAGAUUUCCAAGGACAUGUCUGAUGAUCUAGUAACGCCUCAACUGAAAUCUUCGCUUGAAGUAUCUGAUGAAACACCACGUUACAUGAAGGCAACUACUUCUUCGAAAGGGAAAAAGGCGAAUUCUAUGGAAAGUCAGCAGAAUUCUGAAUUUUGCUUUGAUAAUACUGAUCAAACCAGUUCGCAUUCUUCACAAUCAAAUGUGGCUUCACCCAGUGUUGGAUCUUUGCAAACUUCAUUGACAGCAUUGAACCUUAGAAAUGUGAAAAUUCUAAUAAAGACAACGAGUUUUAAACCCAAGAGGUCUUCCUUAAAAUACUCUCGAGUUUCUCAGGAUUUAAUUGUUGAUAGAGCAACAUUUUCUUCCACUCUUAAGGACUCGAAGUUUGCCAAGCAGGUUGAGCAUAUUCCUGAGGAAGUUGAGUCUGAAAAGACUUCAGUAAUGAAAGUUUGUCGAUACCAUCACUGUUCUCUUCAUGGACACUGCAAUGAGGCCCAUGAUCCUGUUCCUCCACAAAAGCGCCUCUUGUACAAAAAAAGACGAUCGUUGAAGAAACAAAAGAGCACGAAACCCAAAUCUGAUUCCAUGUCUGUCACAAAAAGCUCUAGGGAUAAAAAGAAAGAUCUACAGAAAGGGCAAAUGAUUUCUAAUUUGCAGCAAUUGGUGCAAGGAGAGAGUGACAGUAUAGCCACCUCUUAUGAGGGGGAUACCUCUAGUUCGUGUGCAUUAGAAGUAAAAAUGAGUGAAACACCUUGGCUUAGUGCUUCAUAUGUCAUGGAUUCUGGUACAGAGAUCAAGACUACACCCAAAACUCAGCUAGUUGGAGAUGGGUACAGCAGCAUUCAAGAGUCAGAUCUUGUCGAAAUUGCAUUUGGUGAAACAUCAAACCCUGAGGAAAAUUACCGGGAGAGCCUUAACCGAGUCAUGGAUUAUGGUACACAAAAGCAAGGAAUUCUAUGUUCGAAGUGCUCUAGCAUUAAAAUGGAACCAAAUGAGUCCAAAGGAACAGCUGAUGUAGACUUACCACGCCCUCAAGUACUCGACUCAAAUCUUGGGAAUGGGUACAAAGCUACUGAUUUUUCUGAUACAGCUGCAUCUUCCAUUUCCUUAAAAGCAGAUGAACAAUUUAGUGCCGACAAUAAGGGGACUGCGACUUCUAAUGGAGCAGAAUGUGAUUUUAAUGAACCCAACAUACAGAAUGCAUUAACUCCAGACCAUUUUGAUGAAGUUACAGAAAGUAACAGUGUGAUGUUUUCAACUUCAGAUGAUCAAACUUCAAAAUAUGGAAAUCCUGAAUCAGAAAGGAAAUUCACAGCUGAAGUUAUGCACGCUGAAGAUUCUGAAUCUAGUGAGGUUGUGCACGUUAAAAAUUCAGAAGUUAGUACUCGGUUUCAUGAAGAAAACAAAACUCAGUUCAACAAAGUUAGGCAUAUCAGCAUGUGGCACAUGAUACAUCAGCAUAUGGCAGAAAGUAUGGCUGCAGAAUCUGAAAACAAGCCACUUCAGGACGAUGAUGGUUCCAAUGUAUUGCGUGCAAAAGAAAGUUCAGCAUCGUCCAGGAAUUUUUCUGAUUCUGAUAGGGGCAUACUGAACAACAAUUAUGAAUUAGAUGAUAUUGAAGUCCGUAAGCUUUUUGCAGUUAAGCUAGUCCGAGAAGCAAUCGAGAAGAUUCUUCUUCCAGAAGUUCAAGACCAGACAUCUGAUGAUCAGUCAAUGACAAGCGACACCGCUCAUGAACAAGAACUCUUUGAAAAGAAUGAACACAAAGGUAGUGUCCAAGAAAGUUCCACAGAAUGUGAGUCGGAUAAGGCGGAGGGUGAUGCGCCAGCUGAUUUGAAAGAGGUAGGUCUCAACAAUAAUGAUAUUUCUGGUCAAGAGAUGGUGCAAACUGAUAAAGAGUUUGGAAGCAAAUCUGAGAAGAAAGCACCAAAACAUUGGAGUAAUCUUAAAAAAUGGAUUUUACUUCAAAGAUUCAUCAAAGAAUUAGAAAAAGUGAGGAAAUUUAAUCCAACGAGUCCACAACAUCUGCCUUUGAAGCCUGACCCUGAAUCGGAAAAAGUCAACCUACGGCCUCAAACAGUGGAAGAGAGGAAGAAAGCAGAGGAGUGGAUGCUUGAUUAUGCACUGCGCCAAGCAGUCAGUCAGCUUGCCCCUACUCAGAAAAGGAAAGUGUCUGUGCUAAUAAAGGCCUUUGAAACUGUUGUUACACCGAAUGAAGAUAAUAGCCAAAAAUUUGCCGGCAUUACCCAUGAAGUGGGCGAGUCUGUUCUAAAAGAAAAUAGCCCAAACAAAGAGGCCCAAGAUAUUUUUGAAUUGAAAUCUAAUAAUGGUGAAACAGCACUUGAACACAAUUUACAGGGAAUUCAAAAGGAUACAGUUGUUUGUUUGAACUCUGAGUUUCCAACUGGUAAUUUCCUCCCGACCAUUGGAAACAUAGAGACUCAAGAUCCAGAUUAUGGAAGUGGUGAAUCCAAAAAUUUGAUUCUAGAUGGUAAUGGAUUAUCAACUGAGGAUACUAUCUCAUCAGCUGUUCAUUGUGGUACGCUUGAGCUAGAAACGAAAGUAAGGGGUGAGGCCAACCAAGAAGUUAUGCCAGAACUCAGAGGAUUUCAAGAAGAUACCGUAUCUGAUAGCAAAGAGUCAGAGACAAAGAAUGGAUCACACAAUAUCCAGUUGGAAAGACAAAACCAUAUCAGAAUGUGGCAUUCGAUAUAUCAGCAUGUGGUAUCAGGUAUUGCUGAGAAAGUUGGGAGCCAAUUUCUUGAUGGAACAGAUGAUGAUGAAGUAGAAGAUUGUAAUGAAUUGCCUAAAAUAAGCAAGGGUGAUUUUUUCCUCAAAUCGGAUGAUGACUCAGUCAAAGAAAACCGUGUUUCUAGCCAUUUGAAUAGUGCAUUUACCAAGUCUGAUGCAGUCAAACUCGUCCAAGAGGCAUUAGAUGAGAUCCUUCUUCCAGAAAUUCAAGACGACUCAUCUGAUACUCAGUCAGUUACAAGUGACUUUAAUCCAGACCAGGAGUUCUCAGAAAGUCUUAACCAAGAAAAUGAGACACAAUGUACACGUGAAGGUGGAAUUUCAGUUGAUCAACAAGACUGGAAAAUGAAGUCAGCCAGAAGACCCGAGCCACUGAAGUCCAAAAACUGGAGCAAGCUGAAAAAGCUAAUCCUCCUCAAGAGAUCCUUAAAAGCAUUAGAGAAGGCAAGGAAACUUAACCUGCAACCACCACAACAACUCUCGGUUAUGCCUGAUCCCAAACAAGAGAAAGCUGACUUAAGGCAUGAAAUGAUGGACGAGAGAAAAAAGGCUGAGCAAUGGAUGCUAGAUUAUGCAGUCCAACAUAUUGUCACAAAACUAACUCCAGCGCGGAAAAGAAGGGUGUCAAUGCUUGUUGAAGCUUUCGAAGCAGUCGUUCCACUUCCAGAACCAUUAACUCCAUGAAGAUUCAAAUCAAGCAUAUCUAUGCAAGGUUAUUUGUUGCUAUUUAUAAAAAAAAAUGCUGUAAGGAUGAUGUCUCGUGCCUCUGGAAUAAAUUGGUUAGUGCUCAUGUAAAUGGUCGUUUUUAUGCUAGUUAUUCUUUGACAUCAAUUUUUGUUUUUGUUUAUGGGAAUCUCAUUAUUCUACUACAGAUGUUAUGUACAAUUUCUAGAAGACAAUUCUGUUAUCUGCUUGGUCGUGCAUGUAUUCUAGAGAUAAAAUAAUGUUACCGGUUUGCCUUUGUUCUUUUAA